GGUUCCAUAGUGUUGCGGUUAGCACGUCUGCUUUACACACAGAAGGUCCUGGGUUUGGCCCCAGAGGAGCCA
rnacentral:tRNA from 1 species